rnacentral:rRNA from 1 species
UACGGAGGAUGCAAGCGUUAUCCGGAUUUAUUGGGUUUAAAGGGUGCGCAGGUGGUUUAAUAAGUCAGUGGUGAAAGUCUGGCGCUUAACGUUAGGAUUGCCAUUGAUACUGUUAGACUUGAAUAUGGAUGAGGUAGGCGGAAUGUGUAGUGUAGCGGUGAAAUGCUUAGAUAUUACACAGAACACCGAUUGCGAAGGCAGCUUACUAAUCCAUCAUUGACGCUGAGGCACGAAAGCGUGGGGAUCAAACAGGAUUAGAUACCCUGGUAGUCCACGCUGUAAACGAUGAUCACUCGCUGUUUGCGAUAUACAGUAAGCGGCUAAGCGAAAGCGUUAAGUGAUCCACCUGGGGAGUACGAUCGCAAGGUUGAA